ensembl:lncRNA
AUGCAAGGCCACAGAGGUAGGUUUCAGCAGAGUCUGUCACUACUUACGCUGCUCCUGCUUCCUGAUCUGGUGAGUUCAGAAUUCACCCCACAAUUGUUGCAUCACAUUAUUCUGCAUGACGUCAGCACUGAACUUUUAUCCCUCUCUGUGUCAGGCAUUUGGCACACAGCCUGCCUGGGACAGACGACCGACAGAAAAGCCAGGCUGCAAGAGUCAGUCCCUGAAGUCCUCGUGCAUCCCGGUGUGGCCUGAUUUACUGCACACCAGUUCUUAUUUACUGCACCCUCCAAAUCCUCCUUGUGGUUUUCAGUAGAUAUUUAUUCAGGGUGACCAAACGGAUAGAUGAAAGAAGGAGAAAAAAGGAGAAUAGUGGCUGAAGAAUGAUGAAGCUUAAAAAUCUGAGCAGAGGAGGUUACGGGCAGAAGACCUGGUAAAAUGCAAAUUUCAUAUACAAAGAAUUGGUAACUAUAGUCUCUCAGGAAAGAAAGAAAAAAAACACAGGUGAGCAAGCUACUGUAUUAAAAGGCUCAAAGACAAGGUCCUCGGCACAUAGGAAAGAGAAAUGUUAAUGAACAACUACUAUGACCACAAUGUAAAUCUUAAAUGUCUUGAAAGUUACAGAGGAAGGAUAUGGAAAGCAGAGAUGGUACACAUCUAAGGGUGGUAUAAAGGAAUGACAAGAUCACAGAUAAAACCAGUACCAUGCAGAAUAAGCUUACAGUACCCUUAAGCAUGUAGAUCAGCAGGAUAUUUGUUCUCUGACUGCAACUAACAUAUCUAGAGGGCAAAGACCUGUUAUUUGGUGGUAAGACUCAAAGGAGCAGGCCUGCCUAGAUGGUAUUUCAGCAGUGCUGAAAUUUCAGCCCCUCAGCAAGACUUGCUGCCACAGCAAAUAUAUGGUCAAAAUAGUCACACUCCUUCCAGAUUCAAGGCUCUGUAGGAUGGUAGUACCACAAAAUGCAAACUUAUAAGUAAAUGAUACGUAUUGCUCAGCUUUACGGUAUUUUGGACUAUGGUCAGGAAACAGGAUAUUGGAUCAGACCCACAACAGAAAAGGAACAGGACACACUUGAGUGAGGUGUGCAUACCCACUCCCAGGACAGAGAGAAAUUAAGCCUUCAGAGGUUCCUUCUAUCCUACUACCUAUUUAUGCUGUUUGUUCUUUCUCUUUUUCUUCUCCCCAUGUGGCAAAACAGUACAAGCAAUAUUUUCUUCUGUUUUAUGUUACCUGGGCUACAUGAUUCAUUAUUGA